UCUAGUCAGUUGGUGGUGGCACGUGCCUUUAAUCUCAGUACUUGGGGGGCAGAGGCAGGCAAAUUUCUCUCUUGAGUUUGAGGCCAACCUGGUCUACAAAGCGAGUUGCAGAACAGCCAAGGCCACACAGAGAAAGCCCUGUCUUGAAAACAAAUAAACCAACCUUACUUUCUUCGUAGACUUCACCGAUCCUGUGGAAAGAGAAUAAACCCUCCCUGACCCCCGUCACUCCAGCUACUCACUGGAGACAUUUUGGGUUGGAAUCUGCCACUAAGAUUUUCUUUCUUGAAGUUUCAGUGAGGUCACUGCAGAUUCCUGUACAGCUGUGAGAUGACGCAGACUUCUCAUACCCUUUCUCCUCAGCCUGCUGCGUGUCUGUGAAACUGCAGCAGGGCCAGAGUGUGUAAUGCAUUUGUAUUUGAGAUGAUCCCUACUGUAGCUCAGGCUAUCCCGGAACUCAUGUUCUUCCCUAGCCUUCCAAGGGCUGACAUUUCUGUUCCCUCGCAGCCGGGCCUGGUGGCACAUGUCUAUAAUCCCAGCGGCAUUCAGGAGAGAGGCAGCAGUUACAGACUCUCAGCUCGUCACCAUUCUCUCUCUGUGCUGUCUAUCAUCCUGUGCAUCCCAGUCCCCUGCCGUCCCCUGGGCUCUUUCUGAUGUCAUUAGACCCCACACACUCCCUGACCGAGCUGUGCCCAUAAAUACUAGCUCCUCUGGGUGUGUAUCCUGUAUAGGCAGCAGAGAUAAAACGCCUAAUAGCCGUGUGUGCUGGUCCAGCCUGGGGUGAAGCUCACUGUCAUGUGGCAAGAGCCCAGAGUGAUGUGGUGCAGUCCCUGAGCAUGCUCGGGCAGGGGCAGUCCCUGGGCCCUUGGUCCUGUACUUGAAGUUUCCGUUGAACAGCUGGACCAUGGCGUUUAGUUAGUUUCCUCCCACUGAUGCCAGCCUUAGUCUGUUGGGACAGAGUCUGUCACUGGCCCUCUGUCCUACAGAGGCUACCCGGCAGCCACUUUCAGAGAUAGUACUUUUUUUUUUUAAUUUAUCUAUUUUUAUAUGUAAGUACACUGUAGCUGUCUUCAGACACUCCAGAAGAAGGAGUCAGAUCUCAUUACAGAUGGUUUUGAGCCACCAUGUGGUUGCUGGGAUUUGAACUUGGAACCUUCGGAAGAGCAGUGAGUGCUCUUAACUGCUGAGCCAUCUCUCCAGCCUGAGAUAGUACUUUUGAUUUCACUAGCCAAUCUUGAUACCUUCCCUUUCCACAUAGUGAACUUGUGGCCACAGGUGGUCUACCUCCUCGCUGAGGACAGGGACCUUGGCCAAUAUUCCACAGCCCCACAUCCCCACCCCCACACACCCCGUCCCUCAACACUCGGCCCAAACUGAAGGCAGGGAAGGAAAUUGGUGUCAAGCUUGUGGUCCUCAUACAUGGUUGCUCUAGUGAGCCCGGGGGCUGCAAUUCCCUGAUCUCAGAAGAAGCUGUGAAGAGGGCAGUGCAGCACAGCAGGGCUCAUAGCCCUCGUGGGACCAUGCUACAGCACUGGUGUUCCGGAAUUCCUGUCCACCCUGGGUUUUAGGAGGCCUUGGUUCUUGAUAACCUGUCUCUCUGACCUCUUGGGCUUUGGAGGAAAAGUAGUGUGUGCACGUCUUCAUAGGAUGUUCAAGCCACAGUAGCUGAGAGGGUUGGAAGUGACCUGCAGGAAAAGUGACAAGCAGUGUGCACGUGGGUGUACGUUCCUCUGGAAUUUGGGUUGUGGCAUUAAAAUGUAGACCAAUCCUUAAAGAAGGGUCUAGCUCUCAAAAGCUUCUGCAGGUGAUUAUAUGUCACUAGUAGAGGCUUGCUGCCUGUCCCCACU
rnacentral:lncRNA from 1 species